rnacentral:rRNA from 1 species
UACAGAGGUCCCGAGCGUUGUUCGGAUUCACUGGGCGUAAAGGGUGCGCAGGUGGGUUGGCAAGUUUGAUGUGAAAGCCCCGGGCUUAACCCGGGAAUGGCAUUGAAUACUGCUGAUCUGGAGGAUCGGAGGGGGGACUGGAAUUCUUGGUGUAGCAGUGAAAUGCGUAGAUAUCAAGAGGAACACCAGUGGCGAAGGCGAGUCCCUGGACAAUACCUGACACUGAGGCACGAAAGCCGGGGGAGCAAACAGG